rnacentral:rRNA from 1 species
CCUACGGGUGGCAGCAGUGGGGGAUAUUGCACAAUGGGCGCAAGCCUGACCCAGCAACGCCGCGUGAAGGAAGAAGGCUUUCGGGUUGUAAACUUCUUUUGACAGGGAAGAGUAGAAGACGGUACCUGUCGAAUAAGCCACGGCUAACUACGUGCCAGCAGCCGCGGUAAUACGUAGGGGGCAAGCGUUAUCCGGAUUUACUGGGUGUAAAGGGAGCGCAGGCGGCGUGGCAAGUCAGAUGUGAAAACCCGGGGCCCAACCCCGGGAGUGCAUUUGAAACUGCCAUGCUGGAGUGCCGGAGAGGUAAGCGGAAUUCCUAGUGUAGCGGUGAAAUGCGUAGAUAUUAGGAGGAACACCAGUGGCGGAGGCGGCUUACUGGACGGUAACUGACGCUGAGGCUCGAAAGCGUGGGGAGCAAACAGGAUUAGAUACCCCUGUAGUC